GUUACCAGAAAGGGACGGCUAACUACGUGCCAGCAGCCGCGGUAAUACGUAGGUCCCGAGCGUUAUCCGGAAUUAUUGGGCGUAAAGGGCACGUAGGCGGACAAAUAAGUUUGAUGUCAAAUAUGAUGGCUCAACCAUCAAGAGGCGUUGAAAACUGUUUAUCUAGAAUCUCGGAGAGGUAAGUGGAAUUCCAUGUGUAGCGGUGGAAUGCGUAGAUAUAUGGAGGAACACCAAUGGCGAAGGCAGCUUACUGGACGAAGAUUGACGCUGAGGUGCGAAAGCGUGGGUAGCAAACAGGAUUAGAUACCCCUGGUAG
rnacentral:rRNA from 1 species